GUUUUUUUAGAGAAAGAGUUACGCCAUUGCUAGCAAAACAAAGAAAGAAAAGAAAAAGGACCGGUCCUGCCCUGGCCGGUUUGUCACUGUGGAAAGCAUCCUUGCAUACUGAGAGAGCUGCACCUGGAUCCCCUUUAAAAUUUGGAGUGACUCCUCACUUCCAAGAGAAGCACAUUCUAACCUGGCUGAGAGUUGUGUGCCCUGGGACAUGGGAGCUAACAUCGAAAUGCAGUCCAUCUUCCUUUUCCAAGAACUGCCUAUCAUCAUGGAAAGAUUAACAACCAUGUGGUCAAAAUAAUCUGAUCCCGGAGGUGCCUACUCUUUGCCCGCCUUUUACUACCCCCACCUGCAUUGCCUGUAACCUGUAACCACCCUGCCUACCUCCCUAUGCCUGUAAUUCCUGCUUUUCCAUGUAAUCUUUGUCCUUCUACCCAAUGUAAGCAGCUGGUUUAUGGGGAGGGUAGAGCAGAUUUUUGUGGAUGACCUACUGCUUUCCCAUACUAUUGGCAUUAUUGGA